CUAACACAUGCAAGUCGAGGGGCAGCAUAGAGUAGCAAUACUUUGAUGGCGACCGGCGCACGGGUGAGUAACACGUAUGCAACCUACCUACAUCAGGGGAAUAACCCGGAGAAAUUCGGACUAAUACCGCAUAAUACAGGGAUGCCGCAUGGCAAUAUUUGUUAAAGAUUUAUCGGAUGAUAGAUGGGCAUGCGUUCCAUUAGCUGGUUGGUAAGGUAACGGCUUACCAAGGCAACGAUGGAUAGGGGAACUGAGAGGUUUGUCCCCCACACUGGAACUGAGACACGGACCAGACUCCUACGGGAGGCAGCAGUGAGGAAUAUUGGUCAAUGGACGAGAGUCUGAACCAGCCAAAUCGCGUGAAGGAAGACUGCCCUACGGGUUGUAAACUUCUUUUGUACAGGAAUAAAAGACAUUACGUGUAGUGUAUUGCAUGUACUGUACGAAUAAGCAUCGGCUAACUCCGUGCCAGCAGCCGCGGUAAUACGGAGGAUGCGAGCGUUAUCCGGAUUUAUUGGGUUUAAAGGGUGCGCAGGCGGGAUUUUAAGUCAGCGGUGAAAUUUUCAGGCUCAACCUGAACACUGCCGUUGAAACUGGGAUUCUUGAGUAUGGAUGAAGUAGGCGGAAUUCGUUGUGUAGCGGUGACAUGCUUAGAUAUAACGAGGAACUCCGAUUGCGUAGGCAGCUUACUAAGCCAUAACUGACGCUCAAGCACGAAAGCGUGGGGAUCAAACAGGAUUAGAUACCCUGGUAGUCCACGCCGUAAACGAUGAUUACUAGUUGUUUGCGAUAUACCGUAAGUGACUAAGCGAAAGCGAUAAGUAAUCCACCUGGGGAGUACGCCGGCAACGGUGAAACUCAAAGGAAUUGACGGGGGCCCGCACAAGCGGAG
rnacentral:rRNA from 1 species